rnacentral:rRNA from 2 species
CUCGUAUUCGAAAUAGUCUUUAUACCUAGCAGUAUCCUGAGUACGGCGAGACACGUGAAAUCUCGUCGGAAUCUGGGAGGACCAUCUCCCAACCCUAAAUACUCUCUAGUGACCGAUAGUGAACCAGUACCGUGAGGGAAAGGUGAAAAGUACCCCGGAAGGGGAGUGAAAGAGAACUUGAAACCGUGUGCUUACAAGUAGUCAGAGCCCGUUAAUGGGUGAUGGCGUGCCUUUUGUAGAAUGAACCGGCGAGUUACGAUUUGAUGCAAGGUUAAGCAGUUAAUGUGGAGCCGUAGCGAAAGCGAGUCUGAAUAGGGCGUUGAGUAUUUGGUCGUAGACCCGAAACCAGGUGAUCUACCCAUGGUCAGGUUGAAGUUCAGGUAACACUGAAUGGAGGACCGAACCGACUUACGUUGAAAAGUGAGCGGAUGAGUUGUGGGUAGCGGAGAAAUUCCAAUCGAACCUGGAGAUAGCUGGUUCUCUCCGAAAUAGCUUUAGGGCUAGCCUCAAGUGAUGAUUAUUGGAGGUAGAGCACUGUUUGGACGAGGGGCCCUUCUCGGGUUACCGAAUUCAGACAAACUCCGAAUGCCAAUUAAUUUAACUUGGGAGUCAGAACAUGGGUGAUAAGGUCCGUGUUCGAAAGGGAAACAGCCCAGACCACCAGCUAAGGUCCCAAAAUAUAUGUUAAGUGGAAAAGGAUGUGGCGUUGCCCAGACAACUAGGAUGUUGGCUUAGAAGCAGCCAUCAUUUAAAGAGUGCGUAAUAGCUCACUAGUCGAGUGACACUGCGCCGAAAAUGUACCGGGGCUAAACAUAUUACCGAAGCUGUGGAUUGUCCUUUGGACAAUGGUAGGAGAGCGUUCUAAGGGCGUUGAAGCAUGAUCGCAAGGACAUGUGGAGCGCUUAGAAGUGAGAAUGCCGGUGUGAGUAGCGAAAGACGGGUGAGAAUCCCGUCCACCGAUUGACUAAGGUUUCCAGAGGAAGGCUCGUCCGCUCUGGGUUAGUCGGGUCCUAAGCUGAGGCCGACAGGCGUAGGCGAUGGAUAACAGGUUGAUAUUCCUGUACCACCUAUAAUCGUUUUAAUCGAUGGGGGGACGCAGUAGGAUAGGCGAAGCGUACGAUUGGAUUGUACGUCCAAGCAAUGAGACUGAGUGUUAGGCAAAUCCGGCACUCUUAAGGUCAAGUUGUGAUGGGGAGAGGAAAUUGUUUCCUCGAGUCGUUGAUUUCACACUGCCAAGAAAAGCCUCUAGCUAGAAU